CGCGAUCACAUUACCUUAUGAUACUCAGCAAUUACAUAAAGCAACAAGAGAUACAGCGGCCAUUUAUUUAGCAUGUGGUGUAGAUACCUCCAAGGCUUCUGUCUUUGUUCAGUCUCAUGUUCGUGCUCAUGUAGAGCUGAUGUGGCUACUUAGUUCAGCCACGCCAAUUGGUUGGCUGAACAGGAUGAUCCAGUUUAAGGAGAAAUCACGCAAGGCGGGGGAUGAAAAUGUUG
rnacentral:misc_RNA from 1 species